UACUCCAGAAUGUGGCAAUCAUGCAUAAUUAAAUGUGAUUGACAUUUCUGUAAUGGA
rnacentral:pre_miRNA from 1 species